rnacentral:lncRNA from 1 species
ACAGGCUCAAUCUCACAAAUGCCCAACCCCGGUCUGCUCACCCUCACCAUCAAAUGACGUCGUUCCGUCGUCCAUCAAUCUGGGCCAUCAAUCUCCCUGAUCCAAUGGCCAUGAGUGGUUCCUCUUAUUGUGUUAUAAUGGUCCGAAUAUACGUAUAGCCUCAGAGAUCAUCUCGUCUUCUUCCUCGUACGUGUCACCUGUAACACCAUCGGUGAGCUCACCGCUGGCGAACACCGUGUAUGCCAACGAGCUCAAAAUUUAUACCACCGGUUCACCUCAUUCCCUCUUCCCAUUCCCGCCAUAUUUUUCCCCUAAAAUAUCACCAGAGCUUGUCAAAAUAUCCUUCUCAAACUUUCCGGCCAUGUCAAAAUUUGGCCCAAAUUGGCCUAAAAAAACACCACACAACCCCAGACCUCCCUCAACCCAAAUCCACAGUCAUUUGGCUUCAAAUUGCAGUUGAACGGCUCGAUUGUUAAUUCAAAACUGGCCGGAAGUCAUAGUUACUCUAAACACAACCACAUCGGUAUUACACUGCUUCCUCAUCCCCUUCGUGGAAGGCUCGCUGUCAGUAACGUUAAAUCCACGCCCAAGGCACUCAAAUUUUGAAUCAAAAAAGCAGCAUGAAUGUUCGAGUCAAGCCGUGAGUCCUUGUUUUCGUCUUUUCUUAUUCCUUUUUCUUCUUCUGACUUAGACAAUGAAUACCUAAAUUAAGUUUCUGAUUAGUUUGAUUUUUUUUAAUUUCAGUGUCGAUUUGAUUUCUUUAGAAUAGUUAAUUUUGGUCUGCUUAUUGUUCGUUCCGUUAGUUUAAAGGUUAAAUGUUAGUGUAAUUAGUUCAAGCAAUCAAUUGUUAGUUAAUUCCUCUUUUGCUUCCCUUUCAUUCUAUCAGUCUUAAUUAGUUUAAUUCGAUUCUUAUAUAGUUUAAUUUUUAGAUAUUCUAAUUGGUAGUCUAAUUUCUGUAGAGUUUAUUCUUGUUAUUGUUAGCUAAUUCCGAGUUGAUGUCUUUUCUUCUUAGUUAGAGGUUUAAUUGUUAGAUAAUUGUUAAAGUGUUAGCUUAGUUUCGAUUAGUUUCGAUUUGAUUAGUUUGGUCGAAUGUGCUCCUUGAAUCUGAUUUUUGUUUUUGAUCCUGUUUCCAGCUUGCUUUGAAAUUGUUUGAUUCUCAUCUAUUUGAAAUAGUGAUUCUGUUAGGUUUAGUUUAAUUGGUCUUCAAUCUUCAUUUGCAAUUUGAUUAGGUUCAAGGUUUGGUUAUAGCUAUUAUUUAGUUUAAAUUCAAGGGCAAGAUAGGUAAUUCAAGGGUAGAGAAUCUAGGAUAAACUUCCUAGGAGCUUCUAGAUAGGGGCUUUUAGGCGAUUUGCAAAAGAUAGGUGUAGUUGCUUGGGAGAAACUAAAUGGGUAAAUAAACAAGGGACAAGUUUGAAAACAGAAAAGUAAUAGUUUGCCUAUAUAAGGCAGUCAUUUAUUCCUUGAGAGACAAGUUUGGAGCCUCACAAAAUUUCCCCCAUUUCUCUACAAGUUUGAAAUCUGAAACUUGAGAUCCAAACUCCAAAAUCAUAAGAAAAAAAAAACAGUAGUGAUUUCCAAUAAAUCCAAAGGCAAAAAAAAAAACUCUUCCAAAAAAAACCAAAAAAAGUAUUGUUUCAUUGGAAUCUCGCAAUUUAAAUUCAAGGUUGGCUGCGAGUUUGCCAUUUUAGUUCAGUAAUUUGUCAUUGAAGUUCUGAAACUGCUUGAUUUGGUCUUUGAAGUCAGGUUGAGGUCAAUUUGAGUUGUUGUGUAGUUGUUUCUGUUGCUGAAGGUAGUCUGGAUUGCCUGGAUUCAAUUGUGAGUUCAUUUGGAUGGAUUCACGUUGUUUAAGAGUGGUUUUUCCUGAUUUUGUCCUCUUCUAAAAUUUUUCUGGACUAUUAAACGCAUAUCUGGGCUAAAACUGGGCUGACUGGUGUUGUUUAAAUUCCAAUUAUUGGUUACUGCAAGCUGCUGUCUGCUCUUCUGUUGCUAACGUCCAUUUCUGCUACUUAUAUCUCCAGGUACUUCCCUUUGACCUCAUGUAAAUUGUGAUGGAUCCUUGUUAUUCAAUUUGAAGGAUAAAUGAAGUUGAAGUGGAUCGUUGAAUUCAUUCUACUGUGUUUGGUUUUAAUGUGUUAAAACAAUCAUGUUUAAUCGAUAGGUGGAAUUUUGUAAUAAUCGUACUACAAACUGUGAUCUCUUAGUUUUAUACAAGUUUGUUUUUCAAGUGUAGUACUAGUUGUAGUUAGUUUUCCAUUAGUUUAUUCAUAUACUUGAUAACUACUAAAUGCAACUAGUUUCCUGUCAUAAAAUUUCCUGUUAAAUUCUUUUUUUCGAAUCCAUUAAGUAGUUGUUCUCCUCACUGAUCAUUAGUGAAAUAGGUUUGGAAGUAUGCAAGGUUAAGUCAAAUAAUUGUUGAACAUGAUUUGGAGCUGAUUUUAUAAAUCUAGGUUGUUCAUCUUUGGUUACAAUGCAUGAUAUAGGGGAUCACUUAGUAGAGGCGUAAAAGUUAAGUCCAGGAUAAAGGAUAAUUGGUUGAGUUUAAAUAGAAUAUCACGUAACAUGUCCAGGAGUAUUAGUUAAACCUCUACGUUUGGUCUAUUUUUGGGUGUAAAUCUCAGCCUAUUAAUGAGCAGCCAAGGCUGGAUCUAAAAUUGGAGUUCGUUUGUUAAUUGAGGGACUAAUUUGGGGCGUUUGGUGCUUGCUUCUGCCCAGGCUCGAUCGGGUAGCCGCAGGAUGCCACUUGGCACUAUAAACUUCAUUUUGGGCCAACAAUUGAGCUCAUCUUUUGAUCUAGGCAAUAAUAUGAGUUUGUGUUUUGAGUUAGGUAGCGGGUUUUAAACUAAAAGGUACCCGAACUUGAACUCGGAGCCCGGGUUUUUAAUAAUUAUCAAUUACGAAUUUUCUUUUCUCUUAGAGACAAAAAUAAAAUUAGAAAAAUAUAGUUUAUUUUAGGUUAAUCCUUUUAAAAAUAAUAAAAUGAGACGAGCCUCGUCCAACGAAACACAAUAUUGCGGGGCCCUCAAUAAAAGUUUUAAAAUAUUUAGAAAAUCUUGAAGGGUCGUUUGGCGAAUUUCAUGACCCUCCCAAAAGAUUACAACGCAUUAGAUCCUAUUAGGCGCGACUUUAAUAAAUUACAUUCCUAAAUACGAGUGAGCAUUUAUGCGGCCCAAAUCUAAAUAGGUUGUUUUAUUAUUUGUUGAAAGAGAAAAGAAAAGAGUCGUUUAUUUUUAGUUCGAAAAUAGGUGGUUUUAUUGUUUGUUGAAUAAUGAAAAAAGAGUUUUUUCUAGUUUAGGGAAAUAGGUUAUUUGUUGAACAUGAAAAGGAAAAAAAUCGUUUGUUUUGUCUUGUUUUCAAAUUAGAAAAUGAAAAAUAGCU